UAAAAGUACCCUUGACAUGAUUCCCCUUGGUCAAGUGAAAAAUGGUUGAUGAAAUGUGCAGUUGAUGAGCUCUAAGUGAAUACAAUAGCGUGAGUUUUUUUGUGGUAUGAUUCUGAAAGCCAUAACUUCACUCAGUCCAUAUCCAUAGCCUAUCCAAUUAAAGUUGUAAAUAAUCCUUUUGGUUUAUCCGUAAUAAAUGGGCUUGUCAUCCCGACGUCAUGUGUUUGGGAGCUGCACAAGGGAAUUCUGUGGUUGUGUUUCGGCGUUUGACAAUUUUGGGAACAAAAAAAAAAAACUUAGAUUUUUAAACUUUUGUAGUCUUUGGGAUAGAGUUAGCCAAGUUGAUCAGUCUAUUCUUUUCUGUGUUAAAUCGUCAAAUUAAGGGGUUUUCAAUUUGUGCUUUUUUAAAUGGUUCAUUUUGACCCCUGUUAAUUUAGAUAUAGCCCUUUUUAUCGAAAUAUGUUCACCUUUAUAGGAGAGGCUAGAGAGGAUGAGAGAGAAGAAGAACAGGCUACCAGUGAGAGAGAAGGGGAGGAGAGUGAAGGGAGAGAGAGAGAAAGACACAGUGAUAUUCAGGAGGAGUGGAUCCAUCCCCCAGAGUAGAGGAAGAGUCAGAGGUGGGGGGGGCCCAUUGAGGGAAUUUUGUCCCGGGCCCAGCCAAACCUGUCAGCGGCCCUGGGUAUAACUGCAAUAAAAUACUCUAAGCAGGGGAAGUUAUCUCCUACAUUCACACAUUCAUAAAAUUCCCCCUGCGCGCUCGCGCUCUGCCCUGUCUCUACGAAGCACGAAGCUGCCCCUGCAUCUCUGCACGUAAGAUGGCGGGCCGAGACCCUCCUUCUCGCGUGUGUGUGCGUGCGUGUGCGUGUGCGUGUGUGUGUCCAGUCCUCACAUAUUAAAGCUAUACUGUACGAUGUGAGAGAGCUAGCAUGAUUUGAAAUUAGCUUCUCUUCGGAGUUCCGUUUAACUCCUCCCCCACCCUUCAGGACUCCCUGCCCCCACCCCUCGACACAGAGCCGUGCACGAGCGCUGCUGCUGCUUACGGCUUACUUCAACGGCAACCAUUGCGUCACUUUUCAGGCCAUUCAACUCCCUCAGCUGUCGCCAUCGCUGAAAAGCGAAUCCAAUAUUUAUUCUCGUUUUUCCUCGAGCAUUCUCCAACUUUUUUUUUGUUGCUGCCUUUUCAUUUUCUGUCUUUCUUUUUCUUGCCUUUUUAAAAGGAUGAACCGCGGCAAGUAACGGUGGCAGUGGUAACUUCUGUUUUUUUUCUUCCAUCGUGUUAACGUUGUAGGCUCACUAGGUCUAGUCCACUGUCAUGAACUACUAUGAUAACAACGCUUUCUUUGC
ensembl:lncRNA